GUCUCUGUAGCGCAAUGGGUAGCGCGUUGGACUUCUAAUCCAAAGGUCGUGGGUUCGAAUCCUAAAUGGGAUG